rnacentral:rRNA from 1 species
AGCAGCCGCGGUAAUUCCAGCUCCAAUAGCGUAUAUUAAAGUUGUUGCAGUUAAAAAGCCGUAGUUGAAUUUCGGGGUCAGCUAAUGUAGUUGCUGCUGGUCCGAUGCCCGGUUCGGAACCGGUCAACCUUGGGGCUUUAUUCGGUUUUCCAUCCCUUUUGCAUUUCCGAAUGCCAAUCCCCAUUGGAAUUGGUCAAUUAAGUUUCGGUUGGUUCAAUUUGGGGGCCAAAUUUCAAUU